UAUGCAAUCUACCUUUUACAGAGGGAUAGCCCAGAGAAAUUUGGAUUAAUACCUCAUAGUAUAACGAGUUCGCAUGAAUUUGUUAUUAAAGUCACAACGGUAAAAGAUGAGCAUGCGUCCCAUUAGCUAGUUGGUAAGGUAACGGCUUACCAAGGCAACGAUGGGUAGGGGUCCUGAGAGGGAGAUCCCCCACACUGGUACUGAGACACGGACCAGACUCCUACGGGAGGCAGCAGUGAGGAAUAUUGGUCAAUGGGCGCAAGCCUGAACCAGCCAUGCCGCGUGCAGGAUGACGGUCCUAUGGAUUGUAAACUGCUUUUGCACAGGAAGAAACACUACCUCGUGAGGUAGCUUGACGGUACUGUGAGAAUAAGGAUCGGCUAACUCCGUGCCAGCAGCCGCGGUAAUACGGAGGAUCCAAGCGUUAUCCGGAAUCAUUGGGUUUAAAGGGUCCGUAGGCGGUUUAGUAAGUCAGUGGUGAAAGCCCAUCGCUCAACGGUGGAACGGCCAUUGAUACUGCUAGACUUGAAUUAUUAGGAAGUAACUAGAAUAUGUAGUGUAGCGGUGAAAUGCUUAGAGAUUACAUGGAAUACCAAUUGCGAAGGCAGGUUACUACUAAUGGAUUGACGCUGAUGGACGAAAGCGUGGGUAGCGAACAGGAUUAGAUACCCUGGUAGUCCACGUUGUAAACGAUGGAUACUAGCUGUUGGGAGCGAUCUCAGUGGCUAAGCGAAAGUGAUAAGUAUCCCACCUGGGGAGUACGUUCGCAAGAAUGAAACUCAAA
rnacentral:rRNA from 1 species